rnacentral:miRNA from 2 species
UGACUUAAAUGGGAGCAGAAUU